UACGGAGGGUGCAAGCGUUGUCCGGAAUCACUGGGCGUAAAGGGCGCGUAGGCGGCUCAUGAAGGCUGUGGUGAAAGUCCGGGGCUCAACCUCGGAUCGGCCGUGGCGACUCGUGGGCUGGAGCACUGUAGAGGCGGGUGGAAUUCCGGGUGUAGCGGUGGAAUGCGUAGAUAUCGGGAGGAACACCAGUGGCGAAGGCGGCUACCUGGCACAUAACUGACGCUGAUACGCGAAAGCGUGGGGAGCGAACCGG
rnacentral:rRNA from 1 species